GGAAUGGGUGGCGCUAAGGGAAAAAAGGAGGUGAAGGAGAAGAAGAAGGUUUCGACCGGCUCUACUUCGUGCUCUCGCGGAGUGAAGGAGGUGAAGGAGAAGAAGAAGGUUUCGACCGGCUCUACUUCUCGUUCCCAGGGGGCCCAGGGCCCGGAUGCUCAAGCUCAACUAUCUGGCGUGAGAGUCGUGGUUGAUGCUGAUGGUUCUGAGACUGAGUGGGAUGAGGAUUGGUAUCAGUAUCUUCAUUCGGAGGAGUUCGCUCGUCGGGCAGAAUAAUGUGUUUUUGUUUUGUUUGAUGUGUAUUUUGUAACGCUCGUCGGGCAGAAUAACGUGUUUUUGUUUUGUUUGACGUGUUUUGUUUUGUUUUGUUUUGAUUUCGGAUUGUAUCUUUCGCACAAUGUUUUUGGAUUUUAUUUAUCAUAUUAGUAUUUUCUGUUUA